GCCCGGUUAGCUCAGUCGGUAGAGCAUCAGACUUUUAAUCUGAGGGUCGUGGGUUCAAGUCCCACAUCGGGUG
rnacentral:tRNA from 1 species